UACGUAGGGGCCUAGCGUUGUUCGGAUUUACUGGGCGUAAAGGGCGCGUAGGCGGCACCGCAAGUCGACUGUGAAAUCUCCGGGCUUAACUCGGAAAGGUCAGCCGAUACUGCGGGGCUAGAGUGCAGAAGGGGCAACUGGAAUUCUCGGUGUAGCGGUGAAAUGCGUAGAUAUCGAGAGGAACACCUGCGGCGAAGGCGGGUUGCUGGGCUGACACUGACGCUGAUGCGCGAAAGCUAGGGGAGCGAACGGG
rnacentral:rRNA from 1 species